GUUUCUAGUGUGAUCCGUUGCCAUGUGGCCCGAAAAGAGCAAGAAGAAAAGACAACAGCAAAGGCAGCACGAAGAAACAGCCAAGAGGCAAAAAUUACAGCAUCCUCAACAGCAUCAACGUUUGCCGCCAAUUCAGCAGCCAGGGCAACCGCAUAUGCAAAUCAGGCCUGACCCUAACCAAUGCCCCACCUCAAGUUGUUGGUGGGCCAAGUCACCACUACAAUAAGCCUCGGGGACCUCCAGGAGGACAGAACAGGUAUCCUCAAGGCGGAAACCCAAGUGGUGGAUACAAUCCAAAUCGUGGUGGCCAAGCUGGUGGAUAUGCUACUGGACCUUAUCCACCUCAAGGCCGAGGUCCUGGUUAUGCUGGAACCAGUAUGCCUGGAAACAAGAAUGUGUGAUUUUCUCUUCGAUGUUUAUCAUAGCUUGACUGGCGAUGAUGAACUUGUCAGUAUAUGGAUGGGUUAUGUGGGUUUUGUCUUGUGACUAGAAUCUUCGUAGUAGCUAUGCAGUCCAAUUUCAUGAUA